GACGAACGCUGGCGGCGUGCCUAAUACAUGCAGGUUGAGCGCUGAAGGUUGGUACUUGUACCAACUGGAUGAGCAGCGAACGGGUGAGUAACGCGUGGGGAAUCUGCCUUUGAGCGGGGGACAACAUUUGGAAACGAAUGCUAAUACCGCAUAAAAACUUUAAACACAAGUUUUAAGUUUGAAAGAUGCAAUUGCAUCACUCAAAGAUGAUCCCGCGUUGUAUUAGCUAGUUGGUGAGGUAAAGGCUCACCAAGGCGAUGAUACAUAGCCGACCUGAGAGGGUGAUCGGCCACAUUGGGACUGAGACACGGCCCAAACUCCUACGGGAGGCAGCAGUAGGGAAUCUUCGGCAAUGGACGAAAGUCUGACCGAGCAACGCCGCGUGAGUGAAGAAGGGUGUCGGAUCGUAAAACUCUGUUGGUAGAGAAGAACGUUGGUGAGAGUGGAAAGCUCAUCAAGUGACGGUAACUACCCAGAAAGGGACGGCUAACUACGUG
rnacentral:rRNA from 1 species